ACGAAGGGGGCUAGCGUUGCUCGGAAUUACUGGGCGUAAAGGGCGCGUAGGCGGCGCAUUCAGUCAGGCGUGAAAUUCCUGGGCUUAACCUGGGGGCUGCGCUUGAUACGUUUGUGCUAGAGGUCAGAAGAGGGUCGUGGAAUUCCCAGUGUAGAGGUGAAAUUCGUAGAUAUUGGGAAGAACACCGGUGGCGAAGGCGGCGACCUGGUCUGAUACUGACGCUGAGGCGCGACAGCGUGGGGAGCAAACAGGAUUAGAUACCCUGGUAGUCCACGCCGUAAACGAUGUGCGCUGGAUGUUGGGGCUCUUAGAGCUUCAGUGUCGUAGCUAACGCGGUAAGCGCACCGCCUGGGGAGUACGGCCGCAAGGUUG
rnacentral:rRNA from 1 species